GUGCUUGCUUUGGUAGCAUAUAUACUAAAAUCAGAACAAUACAGAGAAAAUUAGCACAGCCCCUACACAAGGAUGACACACAAAUUUGUAAUAUAAAACUCUU